ACGGGUGAGUAUACAUCGGAACGUGUCCUGGAGUGGGGGAUAGCCCGGCGAAAGCCGGAUUAAUACCGCAUACGCUCUGAGGAGGAAAGCGGGGGAUCUUUCGGGACCUCGCGCUGCAGGGGCGGCCGAUGGCAGAUUAGCUAGUUGGUGGGGUAAAGGCCUACCAAGGCGACGAUCUGUAGCUGGUCUGAGAGGACGACCAGCCACACUGGGACUGAGACACGGCCCAGACUCCUACGGGAGGCAGCAGUGGGGAAUUUUGGACAAUGGGCGCAAGCCUGAUCCAGCAAUGCCGCGUGUAUGAAGAAGGCCUUCGGGUUGUAAAGCACUUUUGUCCGGAAAGAAAACUUCUGGGUUAAUACCCCGGGAGGAUGACGGUACCGGAAGAAUAAGCACCGGCUAACUACGUGCCAGCAGCCGCGGUAAUACGUAGGGUGCAAGCGUUAAUCGGAAUUACUGGGCGUAAAGCGUGCGCAGGCGGUUCGCUAAGACAGAUGUGAAAUCCCCGGGCUUAACCUGGGAACUGCAUUUGUGACUGGCGGGCUAGAGUAUGGCAGAGGGGGGUAGAAUUCCACGUGUAGCAGCGAAAUGCGUAGAGAUGUGGAGGAAUACCGAUGGCGAAGGCAGCCCCCUGGGCCAAUACUGACGCUCAUGCACGAAAGCGUGGGGAGCAAACAGGAUUAGAUACCCUGGUAGUCCACGCCCUAAACGAUGUCAACUAGUUGUCGGGUCUUCAUUGACUUGGUAACGUAGCUAACGCGUGAAGUUGACCGCCUGGGGAGUACGGUCGCAAGAU
rnacentral:rRNA from 1 species